CUGCGACCAGCCGGGCAUCCCCAGGGACUUCCAUGGCAUCCCCAGAGAACCCCCAAGCAUUCCCAAGAACUCCCUGUGCCUCCCGAUUCCCCCCAGCCGGGCGGCCGAAGGAGACACCGGCCCGAAGCGGGCCCUCCCCACAAGAGGCCAGCACGGAGCCCCAGCGGAGGCACCACAGGCCCGCCCCGGCCCGGCCCGGCCCGCUCACCGCGGUCAGCACCCUGAAGUGCUCCCGGGACAGGUAUGAAAAUAAGAAGGCAAGAUCAUUUUCAUUUCUCUCAGCCAGCCAUCUGUGUUCAGCUGUUACCUUCAGAAAAGAAAAAAAAAAACCCAAACAAAAACAUUCCAAAGAGGAGAAGACAGCCCCAUCAGGUGCACAUAUUGUGAACAAAGACCCAUAUUUACGAUCUGUGAUCUCUGACUCUUACAUCCCUUGUAGACUGUAUGUUUGCUCAUUAAAUUUCCAUCCUUUAUUGUGGUCUGUAAAUUUUAGACAUUCUAUAAUUGCUACAGAUUAAAGACAAAGUUAAUUUUA